UACAGAGGUCUCAAGCGUUGUUCGGAUUCAUUGGGCGUAAAGGGUGUGUAGGUGGCGCGCUAAGUCGGGUGUGAAAUUUCGGAGCUUAACUCCGAAACUGCAUUCGAUACUGGUGUGCUUGAGGACUGGAGAGGAGACUGGAAUUUACGGUGUAGCAGUGAAAUGCGUAGAUAUCGUAAGGAAGACCAGUGGCGAAGGCGGGUCUCUGGACAGUUCCUGACACUGAGACACGAAGGCCAGGGGAGCAAACGGG
rnacentral:rRNA from 1 species